UUUCUACUCCCUCCAUUCGGAAUUACUUGUCUCGGAAAUGGAUGUAUCUAGAACUAAAAUACGUCCAGAUACAUCCAUUUUUGCGACAACUAAUCCCGAACGGAGGGAGUAGGUC
rfam:Triticum aestivum genome assembly, contig: Triticum_aestivum_CS42_TGACv1_scaffold_542472_6DS